AAGAAAGUAUGACGUAUGGGCAAACUUGUACCGUGUACCCUCAAACUUUAACAGUUCUCCCAGCUUAGACGAAAGUAAAAGAAAAUAAAAAUUUUCUUUUUUUAUCGUCUUGUACAAAAGAUAAUAAACAAAAAAAAAAUAAUCAAACGAUAUAUUUAUAAAUAACAGUAAUUACUAAUUGUUUUUUUUUAAAUGGAUCUUGUACAAUGCACAGUUGGAGGUUCUGGUUGGAUCCUAGCGAUUCCAAAAGUAGGACGGAGUCUAUCUUGGGAGACAUUGUGGACUUUGGCGCCCAAGUCCAAUUUAAAAUAACAUUCUUAUUUUCCUAGGAAUUUAAAAGGAGCCAAGAAGGUUGGAGAAAGAGAUUCUCCGACUGGCUUUUUUUAACAAAACGUAGUGAGUCUUGCUCAGACAAUUGUGGAACGUUUCUCUCUGGGUUAUUCGUUUGGGAACGUGAGCCACCUUCUCCAUCAUCUCGAAGUACCCCACAUCUGCGUCUGUCUUAGGAGUAGGAAACGAAUCGAAGAAGCCUGAAUCUAAAGAUCCAGGGCACGCAUAUCCGUGCAACUAGCUAAGUUAUUAGAGAUCUGAAGAACCGUUGAAUAAGCUCGUUUGAUUCAUGAUGAUAUGAUGUGGUCGUCCUAUUUGCGAUUCCAAGUGCCCUGCAAACACACGUCAAAAUAACAUUUGUAAAUUGCGUCCACCUGUCAGGUACUCCAAAUCUUGAUAUUCAACCGUUCAAGAAAGCUCCAGCCAUUGUACUAGAGGUGAUAUUUGGAAUUGGGAUCACUUCCGGCCACCUCGUAUACCGAUCCAUCAUAGUCAGGGCAUAGCACUGUCCCUUGACGAGUGUGAACGGGCCAAUUAUGUUAAUGUGGAGGAAGGCAAGUCUCGCUGAUGGUGGAUCGAAAGAGGAAGUAGGCUUGGAUGCUUUAAAAGGCUUCGUUUGUUGACAUGCGAUGCCUUCUUCAGUAAAUUUUUUAAUAUCAGAACGUAAUUUAGGCCAAGCGUAGAAAAGUGAUACCCUUCUUAAAGUCUCCUUGAAUUCAGGAUAAUUAUCUUUGUGGCUUCAAUGAAUAAUUCGUUGGCGAAGUUCGUUCUGGAGAGGACACUACGACACAAAAAAAGUCUUCGUUGCAGAUGCCAGCAUGUAAAGUUCCUGAAACAUAUUUGAGAUAAGGUUUAACUUUAAAAUUUAACAAUUUACGUUGAUGAAGUCUUUGAUCGUCAAUGACAUAUUGGAGAAAAUUGGGACUUCAUUUGAUUUUGUUGAUAUUUCUCGAAAGAAUAUCCGUGGUGUGGUUUAGUUUAACUGACACAUGAUCAAUCCUGCAAUUAAACUCUACUAUAUAUGCAAAUGUGAGGAAUGGACUUGGGAGUCCCGGAGGGAUUGCAGAUGUCUAUUGCUGACAAAAAAAGGCUUAGGAUCUGUGAAACUCUAAAAUUUUGUAAAUCCAAUGCCCACAGAAAAUGUUUAAUGCUUUCCUUUAUAAUAAGUAAUUCCCUAUCAAAAUUUGAAUACUUCUUUUGUGUUUCAGAUAAGGCUUUAAACUAAAAUGCUAUUGGUUACCAGCGCCCAUUCACUUUCUGUUCCAGAACGGCUCCCAUUCCAGUAUCAGAUGCAUCUGUUUUAAGCCUAAAGGUAACGAGUCUUCCCAGAAUUAAAGUUGAGUACUUGAGGAUAAACUGUGUUUUAUACCUUGAAAAGCUCUUCCUCAUUCAUCAUUCCAUAUCAAUUUAAAUUUUUUCUUUAAAACUGGAUUUAACAUCACUGUCCAUUUUGACAAAUUUUUGAUGAAUUGUGAAUAGAAUUGAGUCAUGCCUAAAAAUCUCUGUAAAUCAUCUUCCGAUUUUGGAGAUGAAAUUCUUGCAAUAGCUUCAACUUUCGAUUUAAGAGGUUUAAAACCCUCCGGUGAAAUAGAAUGUCCAAGGAACUCAACAGAGUCCCUGAAAAACUCACAUUUUUCAAGA
rnacentral:lncRNA from 1 species